GUGUUGUUCUUUCCAUGCGAAUAUGAUUUUCUUGAAUUUGAUUUUCUUCUAACAUCUUUCUUACUGUAGAUGGGGUGUUAAGAAGCCUAAAAUCAUGAAAAAUUUUGUCACGAUCUUGUCGAGUGCAUGUCUUGGGAUGGCCAUGUUCAGUCUCGGUAAGAUCAUUGAUAUGCUCAUUCGACGCGAGGGGUGUCAUCAAGAAAUAUGACAAUCCCGAACAAAUUCUUGAAGAAUUCUUUCAUUUAAGACUUGAGUUCUAUGUAAAGAGAAAGAAAGUAAUGUUGGAUAAUCUUAAGAAGGAAGAAGCCCAGGUGGAGGAGGUGACAGGACAGAUGGAGGGUAGGGCAGGAAAGCCUCUUGCUAAGCUUUUAGACAAGUUGGAAAGAACCAAAGAAAGAAAAACACCAAGAAAGCCAAUGAAGCAGAUACUGUUGUUGAAUUUAUAGCAUCAGUUAGUACUACAACUGAAACUGGACAUGUUUCCGAGGGGGCAAAACCCAAAGGUAGGGGAGCUCCGAAGAAGGCUCCUACUAGAAAGUAGAACAUGCCGACUGCCGUUGAUAGUGAAGAGGAAGAUGAUGAGGUGCUCGAGCUGAAAGUGUGAAUGAUUGUGUUGAGAUCAGGGCUGAAGUUGGAAAUGAAUGAUUGUGUUUGAUUGAAUGAAUGAAUGAUUGUGAAUGAAUAAAUGAUUGUGUUUGAUUGAAUGAAUGAAUGAUUUAGCCAUGAAGUAUUUAUCUAUAUCAGCUUAUAUGAGUUAUCAGGGUGUACUACAA